rnacentral:rRNA from 1 species
AUUGAACGCUGGCGGCAUGCUUUACACAUGCAAGUCGAACGGCAGCACGAGUGCUUGCACUUGGUGGCGAGUGGCGAACGGGUGAGUAAUAUAUCGGAACGUGCCCAGUCGUGGGGGAUAACGCAGCGAAAGCUGUGCUAAUACCGCAUACGAUCUAUGGAUGAAAGCGGGGGAUCGCAAGACCUCGCGCGAUUGGAGCGGCCGAUAUCAGAUUAGGUAGUUGGUGGGGUAAAGGCCCACCAAGCCGACGAUCUGUAGCUGGUCUGAGAGGACGACCAGCCACACUGGAACUGAGACACGGUCCAGACUCCUACGGGAGGCAGCAGUGGGGAAUUUUGGACAAUGGGCGCAAGCCUGAUCCAGCAAUGCCGCGUGCAGGAUGAAGGCCUCGG